AUGUAGCUCAGUGGCAGAGCGCUUGUCUAGCAUGCAUGAGGCACUGGGUUCGAUCCUUAGCAU
rnacentral:tRNA from 1 species